rnacentral:rRNA from 1 species
GGAUGAGAUUGCCGAAAGGCUGAAGGAGCGACGCCGCGUGUAGGAUGAAGGUUUUAGGAUUGUAAACUGCUUUUGCACGGGACGAACAAAUGACGGUACCGUGCGAAUAAGAGGUCGCUAACUCUGUGCCAGCAGCAGCGGUAAUACAGAGACCUCGAGCGUUAUCCGGAUUUAUUGGGCGUAAAGCGUGCGUAGGUGGCUUUUUAAGUUGCGGGUUAAAUCCAGGAGCUCAACUCCUGACAGGCCCGCA